rnacentral:rRNA from 1 species
UACGUAGGGUGCAAGCGUUGUCCGGAAUUAUUGGGCGUAAAGAGCUCGUAGGCGGUUCGUCGCGUCGGCUGUGAAAUCCCGAGGCUCAACCUCGGGUCUGCAGUCGAUACGGGCGGACUGGAGUUCGGCAGGGGAGACUGGAAUUCCUGGUGUAGCGGUGAAAUGCGCAGAUAUCAGGAGGAACACCGGUGGCGAAGGCGGGUCUCUGGGCAACAACUGACGCUGAGGAGCGAAAGCGUGGGGAGCGAACAGG